GACGAACGCUGGCGGCGUGCUUAACACAUGCAAGUCGAACGGAAAGGCCCUGCUUUUGUGGGGUGCUCGAGUGGCGAACGGGUGAGUAACACGUGAGUAACCUGUCCUUGACUUUGGGAUAACUUCAGGAAACUGGGGCUAAUACCGGAUUGGAGCUCCUGCUGCAUGGUGGGGGUUGGAAAGUUUCGGCGGUUGGGGAUGGACUCGCGGCUUAUCAGCUUGUUGGUGGGGUAGUGGCUUACCAAGGCUUUGACGGGUAGCCGGCCUGAGAGGGUGACCGGCCACAUUGGGACUGAGAUACGGCCCAGACUCCUACGGGAGGCAGCAGUGGGGAAUAUUGCACAAUGGGCGGAAGCCUGAUGCAGCAACGCCGCGUGCGGGAUGACGGCCUUCGGGUUGUAAACCGCUUUCGCCUGUGACGAAGCGUGAGUGACGGUAAUGGGUAAAGAAGCACCGGCUAACUACGUG
rnacentral:rRNA from 1 species